rnacentral:rRNA from 1 species
UACGUAGGGGGCGAGCGUUGUCCGGAUUUACUGGGCGUAAAGAGCGUGUAGGCGGCCGAGCAGGUCCGUUGUGAAAACUGGAGGCUCAACCUCCAGCCGUCGACGGAAACCGUCCGGCUAGAGUCCGGAAGAGGAGAGUGGAAUUCCUGGUGUAGCGGUGAAUGCGCAGAUAUCAGGAAGAACACCAAUGGCGAAGGCAGCUCUCUGGGACGGUACUGACGCUGAGACGCGAAAGCGUGGGGAGCGAACAGGAUUAGAUACCCCCGUAGUCC